CGGGCGCUGGCCGAGGCGGCGAGCGGCACGCUGGUGCCGGCGGUGACGGCGUUCCCGCUGCGGGACGCUGCCGCGGCGCACGA
rnacentral:tRNA from 1 species